rnacentral:rRNA from 1 species
UGCCGGCGACCGGCGGACGGGUGCGUAACGCGUAUGUAACCUACCUUUGACAGGGGGAUAACAUCGAGAAAUUGGUACUAAUACCCCAUAACAUCACCGGAGGCAUCUUCGGUGGUUGAAAACUCAGGUGGUCAGAGAUGGACAUGCGUUGUAUUAGCUAGUUGGUGAGGUAACGGCUCACCAAGGCGACGAUACAUAGGGGGGCUGAGAGGUCAACCCCCCACAUUGGUACUGAGACACGGACCAAACUCCUACGGGAGGCAGCAG